rnacentral:rRNA from 1 species
UGGGGAAUAUUGCACAAUGGGGGAAACCCUGAUGCAGCGACGCCGCGUGAGCGAAGAAGGUUUUCGAAUCGUAAAGCUCUGUCCUAUGGGAAGAUAAUGACGGUACCAUAGGAGGAAGCCCCGGCUAACUACGUGCCAGCAGCCGCGGUAAUACGUAGGGGGCAAGCGUUGUCCGGAAUCACUGGGCGUAAAGGGUUCGCAGGCGGAAAUGCAAGUCAGUUGUGAAAGGCAGAAGCUCAACCUCUGUAAGCAAUUGAAACUGUAUUUCUUGAGAUGUGGAGAGGCAAGUGGAAUUCCUAGUGUAGCGGUGAAAUGCGUAGAUAUUAGGAAGAAUACCGGUGGCGAAGGCGACUUGCUGGACACAAACUGACGCUGAGGAACGAAAGCGUGGGUAGCAAACAGG